rnacentral:rRNA from 1 species
GACGAACGCUGGCGGCGCGCUUAACACAUGCAAGUCGAGCGAUGAAACUUUAACAGAACCCUUCGGGGCGAAGAUAAAGUGGAUUAGCGGCGGACGGGUGAGUAACACGUGAGUAACCUGCCUUAGACAUUGGGAUAGCCUCGGGAAACCGGGAUUAAUACCAAAUAAAAUCAUAAUGACACAUGUCAUAACGAUCAAAACUCCGGUGGUCUAAGAUGGACUCGCGUCCCAUUAGCUAGUUGGUAGAGUAAAAGCCUACCAAGGCGACGAUGGGUAGCCGGCCUGAGAGGGUGAACGGCCACAUUGGAACUGAGAAACGGUCCAAACUCCUACGGGAGGCAGCAGUGGGGAUUAUUGCACAAUGGAGGGAACUCUGAUGCAGCGACGCCGCGUGAACGAAGAAGGCUUUCGAGUCGUAAAGUUCUUUUAUAUGGGAAGAUAAUGACGGUACCAUAAGAAAAAGCCCCGGCUAACUACGUG